rnacentral:rRNA from 1 species
ACUCUUAUGGGAGGCAGCAGUGGGGAAUAUUGCACAAUGGGCGCAAGCCUGAUGCAGCGACGCCGCGUGCGGGAUGACGGCCUUCGGGUUGUAAACCGCUUUUGACUGGGAGCAAGCC